UACGAAGGGUGCAAGCGUUAAUCGGAAUUACUGGGCGUAAAGCGCGCGUAGGUGGUUCAGUAAGUUGGAAGUGAAAUCCCCGGGCUCAACCUGGGAACUGCUUUCAAAACUGCUGAGCUAGAGUACGGUAGAGGGUGGUGGAAUUUCCUGCGUAGCGGUGAAAUGCGUAGAUAUAGGAAGGAACACCAGUGGCGAAGGCGACCACCUGGACUGAUACUGACACUGAGGUGCGAAAGCGUGGGGAGCAAACAGG
rnacentral:rRNA from 1 species